GAUAAAUACUGGCGACACAACAAACCACAAGUCUGCAUGCCAUCAGCGGUAAUAGAAACAAUAAGUUUGGUUACCACUUGGCACUAGCUAUGACUUGGGUAAAACACAUUUUUUGUAUGCAACUAAGUGGGCCAAAAAAUAAGCCAAGGCAUACAGCUAUUCACAAAUCACAAGUGGCAGAAAUCCUUGACCAAGUAGCAUUGAAACUGUGUAGCCAUUGUGGCCUUUCUGAUCGUUAGAUGGAAGCCGAGGAAAAAGUCAAUCGUUGGGCAUGAAAAACCCCGAACACCGGGCAAACUGCCCACGUAUGUCAAUUUCCAAAUGUAUCUACCAAUGAGACUGGUGGAUGUCCUUCAUCGGGCUUAAAAGAAGAGGUACUCUACAAGUUUCCAGAUCGGUUGGUCCUCGA